rnacentral:rRNA from 1 species
UGGGGAAUAUUGCACAAUGGGGGAAACCCUGAUGCAGCGACGCCGCGUGAACGAAGAAGGUAUUCGUAUCGUAAAGUUCUGUCCUAUGGGAAGAUAAUGACAGUACCAUAGAAGAAAGCUCCGGCUAAAUACGUGCCAGCAGCCGCGGUAAUACGUAUGGAGCGAGCGUUGUCCGGAAUUAUUGGGCGUAAAGGGUACGCAGGCGGUUUAAUAAGUCGAAUGUUAAAGAUCGGGGCUCAACCCCGUAAAGCAUUGGAAACUGAUAAACCUGAGUAGUGGAGAGGAAAGUGGAAUUCCUAGUGUAGUGGUGAAAUACGUAGAUAUUAGGAGGAAUACCAGUAGCGAAGGCGACUUUCUGGACACAAACUGACGCUGAGGUACGAAAGCGUGGGGAGCAAACAGG